AAUUCAGAUAUGUGGUUGUACUAAUUCGGUGUUUGAUGUUGCUUCUCACCACAAUGACCCUUCCUUGUUCUCCUGUGAAACGCUAAAUAAAGAACACGAACCUGCAUCGUCUCUCUCUCUCUCUCUCUCUCUCUCUCUCUCUCUCUCUCUCUCUCUCUCUCUCUCUCCUUUUUUUGAGAACUUGAAAUCAAUUUUCAAAACCGAUUCUCUUCCCCUUUCUCUGCCUCUCUCUAAAAAAUGGUGCUCUUCUCCACGAUGGACUGUAUCAAAUCCUGGACUUCGUCAAAACGUCAACUUCUCCUAAUUUUCUACUAAAGCCUCACGGUUGCGACAACUAUGUACAUCGCUGAAGGAACAAUUUCGUUUGAUUUUCAAUUUUUUUAAACUAGGGUUACGUCCAAGUUUUCUGUAGGUGCUGUGACUACAAGUCGUGGGCUACAGGGCUUUCGUCAUUAUGCUUUUCAUAAUUACUAAGAGUAGUAUCAACUGGGCUUCUAUCCUCCUCGAAUAGUGAAACUCAGGUUCAUUGGUGGUGAAUAGUGAAACAGAGGAAAUCGAGUUCUAGGAUGCCUCCAGUAGGUUUGGUCUUUGAAAAUGGAAAAGUUCCUUGGUUUCUGUUAUAAUCAGCUGAGGAUCUAGAAAACAAUGAAACAAACGAAGUGGGUAAUUAAAAGCUACUUGAAUAUGUUUCAGAUGCUAUCAGCUAAGAGAGAAAUGAGACACAUAGGCAUGUGUGUGCUUCCUAUUGCCAGCUGCAGGGUCUGUUGAGGGAGUGUAUGCAUGGGCUGUGGCUAACUAAGCUUAUGGGAGGCAUGGUAUGCAUAAUUCCUAAUUCAAGCCAUCCACGAAAUAACUUAAAUAGAAUGUCGAAGGUAUGCACAUCCAAAAUGCAUGAUCAUCUUAUUUAUAUGUUCUUUAUUUUCAUUUCCUGCCUCUUAUUCAUGAAAUCUUUUUUCGUGAGAAAUCUUUAUCUUCCCAAACAUGAAACUUGAUUGUUCAAGUGUCAAUGUUUAUAGGCGUUAACAAGCUUGAAUGGAAAUAGGGGAUUCAGGUUAACUGUUGCAUUAACUCAUUAACCCCAUUGCCACUUUGGAUUCGAUUAUGCACUUCAGGCAUUCUAAAUUGAUCGGCUGAUCUGACAACUUAUAGAAUUAUGGAAGAUACGAGAUGAAGGCCCCACAGUUUAUCAUUUCAAGAAUCUGACUCCUAACUUACAACAGAACAUUUAGCUCAUUAAAAGCAAAUGAUUGACUUGGCUACAUGCCCAUCGUGUCACUUCUGGUUCACUCAUUUCCCAUUGAGCGUAUGAUAUAGUUUUGAGUAAAAACACUCUUAAUUGAUGCAUGAGGGUCAUCAUAUUUUGGUCUCAUAGCUGAACUUUGGCAUAGUAAGGAAUGUCCUAAAGCUGUUCCAUGUAUUAUUGUAUAUGGAAUAGGUAUGGAUCAUAACAUUAACAACGAAUAGACUACUAUUGCUUAUUAUUUUAAUACCAUAUUUUUCUCAUAAUUAAAUCAAUAACAAGUCUUGACACUUCUGUUAUGGCUUGCAUUUGCCGACAUACAUCUAUGGAGGAAUGCAAAAGUGACACUUGGUGGGUUACAUGAAAGUUAGUUCAAUUCACCUUUGGAUUGAUGUAAUAUUGUUUUUGAUAAGUUUUUCAUUUGAUGAUCAAAUAGAUGGUGAACUGAGCCUAUCUAUUGAUGAUUUUGUUAUUGUUUGGAUAAAGAACUAACAAAAAAGAUAAAAGAAGUUCGAGGUUUUGCAACAAAAAAAUAAAAUAAAUAAAAACUUGUUGUUUGACGCAAAGCGGUGAUGCUCUUAGCACCUUAUGCCUCUUUUGACACUGAUGACACCAGAUGUCCACAGAUUUUGCACAAAAUGGGGUUUUGGCAGGUUCACAAGAUAAUGUGCGUGAAGGACGAGAAAACCCAUCUUCAAUUCAAGAAUUUCCACAUGUUUGGUGUUUUCGAUUUUGGAUUCAAUGCUUGACUAAUGCCCGAUCCAUCACCACUCAGUGCACAGUUAUGGAUUUAUUAGGAUGAAUAUUGGGUUGUUGGCUGGAUUCGAUUUCUACGAAAAUCCGAUUCUCACUUCUGUACACCAAAUUUCCAACAAAUUUCAUUUGAGGAACACAUGGCCACCAUUGGAUUCCAAUUUAGAUGAAAAACGUAAUGUUGAGUUGGGCUAAAAGAGGAAAAAAGCAAUGUACAAAACAUUGGAAAGUUGCUCUGUAUCUAAUUAUCGGUGAUUGUAAUACGAGAGUUAUGAUAAGCUUUAUCAUUAAGGGUUUACCCAUUCAGAUAAAAAGGAAAAUACAAAGUCACAUGGUAACUCAUGAUCCUCCAUCUAUAGCUCGGGAUUCACAUGUUAACCAAAACUGAUUUGAUUUUGUGGAUUUUAUCUACUCUUUCAAGUUAAAACCCUACAAAAUUAAAACUUUUUUGUUUGUUUUACUCGGUGAGGUUUGAAAUCAUGUCUUUUACAGUACCCAAGUUAUUCAUUGAAAAAUCCGAAAUAACUUUUACAGUAUUGAUUGUUAACAAAACUUUUUUUUACCAUUAUAUACAACAAUACCAUACACAGCGAGCAAAUAUGUGGUAAUUUCUGAGAAUAUCACUGAUAUAUUACAAUUUAAAAAUACCACAAAUGCAAUUUUAUUUUUGACAUUAAGUACAUUCGAAUUUAAGGUUACACAAAUACAUUACUAACAAUACUAAAAUUUAAGCUAUUAUAUACUUAGAAGGCAUUUUGCUACAAAACACAAAGGCAUAUGCAAUAUUAGGUGCUUCUCAACAUUAAGAUCACUAUUGAUGGUGAAACUUAGCAAAUGGCCUUCAGUACAAAUUUUAUUUCCCAAACAAAAUUAUUAUUUUUUAGAAGUUAAGCAUUCAAACUUUAUACAUAAGUGAAAUCAAUACUGGCUUAUUGCUGGGCUUGAUUAUGUGAAAUCCUAUAAAGAGAAGGACAAUUAGUUGCUUUAUCAUUGGCUACAUGAAAGAAGUAGCUAUGUACUUUCAUUGUCAAUAACCCGCCAGUCGUUGCAAUGAGAGACAACCUCAUCAAUCUAUGGAAGUGUUGGUGAUCAUUGUAGAAAGUCUUGGAAUUCCAAAGCGGGUAUGUGUUUGAAUUCAUUCAACAUUGGGUCACAAGUGUCAUGUCGAUUCAAGGUAUGUUACCAAUAUAAUCUUUCAUAUAAAACAUAUAAUUAUGAGUAGUUUGUGUGCAUAGUGCUCUCAAUAUUGAUGAUACGAGUAUAUGACCAAACCCAAAUAUUUUUUGAAACAUAAAGCUAAUAUAAUUAUGAUGGGAUUUCAAAAUAAUAGAUUGUUCCAACUAUUGAUGUUCAUGUUUUUCUUGAAAAUGAUGUUUCCAACAUAAUCCCUGCCAUUUCUAACAAUUAGUGUUCAUACAUUUCUUAAAAACUGAUGAUUACAACAAGUCCAACUGAACUCCUCUUUGAAACGAACUCAACUUUGGUUAUGAUGGGUUUUCUAAAUCUAAGAUCUUUUUAGUUGCAUUUGGUAUUUAAUUAUUGAACACUUUUUGUUCAGAACAAAUGAAAUUUAUGCCUUGAAGAAUUUGUUUAUAAAACAGAAACUAGCCCCAUAGGUGUAUUACAGUCAAUAAUGGGUUAACCUAAUUUAAACUAAUGUUCAAACUCCUUUUGCUUUGCUAAUUUGUGUGGAAAUUUUUUAAUUGUUCACUUAUUUAUGCACCCUUUUGACUGAUAGCAGCUUUUUUAUACAUCCUAGAACUCUAAUUUUCUAUGAUUUAUGAUUGCCUUUUAAAUUUUAAUUAUCCUUUUUCAUGGUGAACCCAAAAAUACACUUCAAAAGAACGUUGCUAUUGUAUAAAAUAUAGCCCGUAAAGUAAAAUGUUCUCAACAUUUAGUUCAUAUGGUUUGGUGAUAUGUAGACUGGAUUAUGGUGACAAAAUGGAAGAGUUUAUUAAAAGAUGUUUCUACCAAUUGGGUCGAUACAACUUUGAUGGACAUUUUUUCAAAAUUGAACCCUAAGUUGAAGCAACUUUGAUGGAUUCAUGAGAAAUAAUAUGUACUUAAAUUUCUUUAUGUAUUCAUGAGAAAUAAGACUGUUGUGAUUGUAAAUAUGAGGAAUAGCAAUGUGCGUUUAUUUACUUGUCUAAUGUCUAUUAUAGCAUUGAACUUCCA